GGACACAGGAACAUAGCCUAACCCCGCCGUUGGUUGAGUGGGGCGUAAGGGAGCGAAAAUUAGUAGCGAAGUAGGUGAUUGUACACUGGCGAGAAAAGCUGUAUGUAUUGAUAAGGUGCCCGUACCGCAAACCGACACAGGUAGAUGAGGAGAGAAUCCUAAGACCAGCGGGAGAAGUGUUGUUAAGGAACUCGGCAAAUGACCCCGUAACUUCGGGAUAAGGGGAGCCUACGCGAGUAGGCCGCAGAGAAUAGUCUCAAGCGACUGUUUAGCAAAAACACAGGUCUAUGCUAAAUCGAAAGAUGAUGUAUAUGGGCUGACGCCUGCCCGGUGCUGGAAGGUUAAGGGGAAGUGUUAGAGCAAUCGAAGCACUGAACUUAAGCCCCAGUAAACGGCGGCCGUAACAAUAACGGUCCUAAGGUAGCGAAAUUCCUUGUCAGGUAAGUUCUGACCCGCACGAAUGGCGUAACGACUUGAGAGCUGUCUCAACAACAUACCCGGCGAAAUUGAAGUACUGGUAAAGACGCCAGUUACCCGUGAUAAGACGGAAAGACCCCAUGGAGCUUUACUGUAACUUGAUAUUGAAUUUUUGUAUUACAUGUACAGGAUAGGUGGGAGACAGAGAACUAAUGCCGCCAGGUGUUAGGGAGUCGAUGUUGGGAUACCACUCUUGUAAUAUGAAGGUUCUAACCUGCACCCGUGAAUCCGGGUGGGGGACACUGUCAGGUGGACAGUUUGACUGGGGCGGUCGCCUCCUAAAAGGUAACGGAGGCGUUCAAAGGUUGGUUCAGCACGGACGGAAAUCGUGCAACGAGUGCAAACGCAUAAACCAGCCUAACUGCGAGACCGACAAGUCGAGCAGUAACGAAAGUUGGAGUUAGUGAUCCGGCGGUAUGAGAGUGGAAUUGCCGUCGCUCAACGGAUAAAAGCUACCCUGGGGAUAACAGGCUGAUCUCCCCCAAGAGUCCACAUCGACGGGGAGGUUUGGCACCUCGAUGUCGGCUCAUCGCAUCCUGGAGCUGUAGUCGGUUCCAAGGGUUGGGCUGUUCGCCCAUUAAAGCGGUACGCGAGCUGGGUUCAGAACGUCGCGAGACAGUUCGGUCCCUAUCUAUCACGGGCGUAGGAAAUUUGAGGAGAGCUGACCUUAGUACGAGAGGACCGGGUUGGACGUACCGCUGGUGCACCUGUUGUUCUGCCAAGGGCAUAGCAGGGUAGCUAAGUACGGACGGGAUAAACGCUGAAGGCAUCUAAGCGUGAAGCCCCCUUCGAGAUAAGAUUUCCCAUAGCGUAGGCUAGUAAGGACCCAUGAAGACUACAUGGUUGAUAGGCCGGAGGUGGAAGUGCAGUAAUGUAUGUAGCUGACCGGUACUAAUAGUCCGAGGGCUUGAUC
rnacentral:rRNA from 1 species